rnacentral:rRNA from 1 species
AGGUGCUAAUACCGUAUAACAAUCAAAACCGCAUGGUUUUGAUUUGAAAGGCGCUUUCGGGUGUCGCUGAUGGAUGGACCCGCGGUGCAUUAGCUAGUUGGUGAGGUAACGGCUCACCAAGGCCACGAUGCAUAGCCGACCUGAGAGGGUGAUCGGCCACAUUGGGACUGAGACACGGCCCAAACUCCUACGGGAGGCAGCAGUAGGGAAUCUUCGGCAAUGGACGAAAGUCUGACCGAGCAACGCCGCGUGAGUGAAGAAGGUUUUCGGAUCGUAAAACUCUGUUGUUAGAGAAGAACAAGGAUGAGAGUAACUGUUCAUCCCUUGACGGUAUCUAACCAGAAAGCCACGGCUAACUACGUGCCAGCAGCCGCGGUAAUACGUAGGUGGCAAGCGUUGUCCGGAUUUAUUGGGCGUAAAGCGAGCGCAGGCGGUUUCUUAAGUCUGAUGUGAAAGCCCCCGGCUCAACCGGGGAGGGUCAUUGGAAACUGGGAGACUUGAGUGCAGAAGAGGAGAGUGGAAUUCCAUGUGUAGCGGUGAAAUGCGUAGAUAUAUGGAGGAACACCAGUGGCGAAGGCGGCUCUCUGGUCUGUAACUGACGCUGAGGCUCGAAAGCGUGGGGAGCAAACAGGAUUAGAUACCCUGGUAGUCCACGCCGUAAACGAUGAGUGCUAAGUGUUGGAGGGUUUCCGCCCUUCAGUGCUGCAGCUAACGCAUUAAGCACUCCGCCUGGGGAGUACGACCGCAAGGUUGAAACUCAAAGGAAUUGACGGGGGCCCGCACAAGCGGUGGAGCAUGUGGUUUAAUUCGAAGCAACCCGAAGAACCUUACCAGGUCUUGACAUCCUUUGACCACUCUAAAAAUAAAGCUUCCCCUUCGGGGGCAAAUUAACAGGUGGUGCAAGGGUUUUCCCCCACCUCGGGUCCUAAAAAUUUUGGGUUAAAUCCCCCAAAAAACGCCAACCCUUAUUGGUAUUUGCCCACAUUCCAUUUGGGCCCCUUAACAAAAAUUCCCGGGUCCAAACCCGGAAGAGAGGGGGGGGAUAACGUUCAAAAUACAAAGGCCCCUUAAAACCCGGGGGUACCACCCCGUUCCAAAAGGGGAAGUAACACCAAAUUUCCGA